rnacentral:rRNA from 1 species
UACGGAGGGUGCAAGCGUUAUCCGGAUUCACUGGGUUUAAAGGGUGCGUAGGAGGACUGGUAAGUCAGUGGUGAAAUCCCCGAGCUUAACUUGGGAACUGCCGUUGAUACUAUCAGUCUUGAAUACCGUGGAGGUGAGCGGAAUAUGUCAUGUAGCGGUGAAAUGCUUAGAUAUGACAUAGAACACCAAUUGCGAAGGCGGCUCGCUACACGAAUAUUGACUCUGAGGCACGAAAGCGUGGGGAUCAAACAGG